CCGUCUCUGAGAUAUUGCACCAUUGUAGGAGCUAUCUGGAGUUGUCGUUCUGUUGCGUUCUUGCUCAACGUUCUUGGUUCACUGCUAUUAUGAAUUUUUUAAUUGUUCUUCAUUUUAAUUUGUUCUUGAUUUUGAUUUUAGAGUAUUUGCAUUCUGAAGUUUCGUUGUAGCAGCCAUCACCGAGCAGCCUCUCCUCACCGAGCAAUAGCAUCCUGAUCCCUCUUCUGCUACUGAAAAAUGCUGUAUCUACUUCACAUUGCUUACAGCCCAACAACAUUGAAUAUGAUAUGGCUAUGGAAUGGUGCUUACUCCAAGAAAGAGCAGACAAAGCAUGGUCAAUAUUAUAUCAGGUUUUGGUUUUCUUCCUUGUUAGAAGAAAUUGGGGAGAGAUCAAAACAUGGGUUCUUUCCACACCAGUUCAUUUCAUUAGAGGCGCGUUUUACAGAGAAAGAGUGAUACUGUUAUUGGAGGGAUCGUGAAUGAGAAUGGGGUGCUGCAUAUUGAGGCCACCAGGGUUGGCUCAGAGAGUGCUCUUUCUCAUAUUAGAAUACAGUUAUUGGUGCAUCUAAAUGUAAUAUUUUGAUGUCUUCUAUAUUUUUUAAGAGACUUUACUCGGCCAGUAUUACAUGUAAUGGAUAUAAUAUAAUAUAUUUUGAUUUGUGUUGUUUGGACAAAAAACAUAUCUAGCUUAUAAUGUAAAUUUUAU